rnacentral:lncRNA from 1 species
AAUUGGGGUAAGGGAAGUAAACUGGUGCUCCAAAAAUAUCUUGUUAGUCCAUAGGCAAAACAAGAGCUCCCACUUUUGAUAAUAAGAUGCUAUCCUAAUUAUACUUAUUUGAUCAUGAACUUUUUCACAAGAUAACUUAAAUUAAGGAUCUUAAAUCACCUCCACCACCUCAUGUACAGAGAGUUUUACAGUGUGGGUCUACAGGAGCUGCACACGUGCACAUUGUGUAUUUUCAUGAAUCCAAAACAGAUGCUCCUAAGAAAAUAUUGGCUGCUCUUUUACAAAUCUGCCUCCUGUGGGGAUACAGCUUGUUCAACUGAGCCUCAGGGAUCGCAAGAUUCUCCUCACCCCACAACACCACACUGGGGUUUAUUAAGGUGAUAGAUAAGACUGGAGGACAGGGGGAAGGAGGGAUGCUGGGUAAUAGGAAACAGAGGGGACAAUAUUCAUGGAAAAAUCCCAGUCUGGGGGACCUGUUAUUCUUUGAGGACUGAAUAUAAUCUCAGGCGCAUUCACUCAAAACAUGGAGAAGAGUAAAGUUUCAGGGAAAGCUGGAGUAUGUGAAGAACACAAAGGCCAGUUUAAGUUCAACUGAGCCGUAUACAUGACUGAGGAAAUCUUUUCCGACUGCAUUAUCCAGGUAUGUUAGUCUGACUAUGAGGAGUUAGAUUUACUGUGAAUUUAGUUGAGCUAAUGUGUUUUUUAAAAGUACAGUUUUAGUCUGACUAAUGCAACGAAUUGAUUCUUUUGAACUGCAUGUAAAGGUAAUGACUGCUGUAAGGUCUGUUUUCUCUCUAGAGAUGUUGCAUUUCAGUCUGAGCCACUGCAGUGUCUGAUCAAUGAAUUAUAUUUCAUACUGGGGCGUGUCUGUCAGUGAAAAGACUUCUGUGAUGGCCGCUUUUGUACUCCAUUGCUCCUCUAGUUUCCCUCCUCUCUCCUCAAUUCUCUCUCCUCCGAACAGGAUUAAAGGCAAGAACAUUGCUAAGCAUGGGCGGACGCUAAGUGCAGUUUUUCAGAUGGGGACUGAGGGGAAAUCAGUCAAGGGCUUUGGGAUCUGAGAGAAGUCUUUGAACCUGACCUGACUGUAGCCAUGUUUACAUGUGCAAAAUUUCUCAAUCCGAUUAAAAAUUUAAGGGAUCGGAUAAUCUGAAUCCACUGUUUAUAUGGGUGCAAAAUCAAAUAAUCCGAUCAUGUCGUGUGCAUACAUGCACCCAGCUUUGUUCAGAUUAGAAGCAUUUGGACAUGUGCAGAGUUGUCUGAUUUUGCUAAAAAAACCGCAGAAGAAGAGUUGUAUUUACUGUUUUGUCAAAGGUUACACUGUGUGUGCAGAUGUGACAUCAUUACGCUGUAUGUACACCUUGUUAUAUUAUCGGAGGAGCAGACACGGCACCUGCGGUUGGGUUUUUUGCCAGAGUGUUAAUAAUGAAACCUCCUGUACUGACCUCAAUAAAUAAGCCAAAGGCUAAAGAGUGAAGACGGGGUCAGGUAAGAGAGUCACGAUCGGAAUAAGUCUUUACAUGGAUGCAUUUCAGAAUAAUGAUCAGCAUAAACCACCCCUCUUGAUCAGAAUACAUUUUCUUUCUGAUUGAGCUGAAUUGGAUCAGAAUCUUCAGAUCGACAUGUUUACAUGACGCAUUUUUAUUCCGAUCGGGUAUUUAUUCCUAUGCAAACGCAGCUAUCACACGACCAAAUUGACUAAUGAGAAAUGUUAGCAAAAAUAUGUGGUCUUGUCUUUGAAAUGCUCUCCAAAGACCAGCAGGGAAAAAGAGGUACAAGUGCUGUAUUAAAGCUAUACAGCUAAGCAAACUUGAACAAACUUUUUACAUGUGAAACAGGAGUUUGUCAGUCGUUUUCUGUGAUUAUCGCUGCAUGUACUUCAAUCCACUGUUUUUCAUCUUAGAAUAACAACUAGAGCAUCAACUUGAGAAUUGAGGGCCACAUUUUUCUCUUAUUUUCUAAAAACUAAUUUCACAGAUCAUGCUGAGGCUGAGUUCAGUUUGGUUGAUAGGCUGUGCACAUCGUCAGUGACCUUGCUGAGGUGUGUGUUUUAUACAAAAAUUCACCACACGUGCAGGAGUCAGAGCCUGUGCUAGAAUAAAAAGUGUGUCACUCAUUGCCUGCAUCAUCUUAUUUUAGCCCAUGGGCUUUUGGUUAAACUGGGGAGCUUAUACACGUGUGCAGGUGCAUGCACAUGGAACCUACAGUCUGCGUAGAUAUCCUGACAUCGGCCUGCGUAUCUUAUAUGUACUUUAAUGUGGAAGUUAAACCCAGAAAGCUCAACAAAACUCGUGCCUCACUUGUUCCUUGUCCCCUCUCCCCCACAUUCAGGUCACACUUUGAUGCACAGCAAUGUGCUGCAGUGGUCUACUUGUAACUCUAUCAUUAACUCGCAGCCCUGCCUGCCUGCUGCACAAUGUGAUCUCCUUAAGUGUUCACUGCACUAGAACUCAUUCAGGCCCAGGAUGUGUUCGGUCCAGAGGAGUUGUAAGAUGAUAUUUUAAUUUGCCUCAUUUUUAUGGAGCUCUCCUGGUCCGGUAUCAUUUCUCACUGAAUGACCUUGACAGACAAAGAAGCCUCAGCAUGAAUGAAUAAGAGCUGGUUAAUAGUUAAUGCCCACCUCCAUUAUUACUUGAACUUGGAGCAACCAAGGCCACAUGCAUGCAGGCUAUUCUUUGUGUACCUGUGUAGGUUUGGAAGGGACUCUUUUUCUCUUUGCAGAUGACUGGAGGUGAAGUUUAAAUUAUUGUUAGUUUAAUUGCUGGAAUUUCAGUGUCAGCAGGAAUAACUGAUGAAAUAAUGGUUCAAUAAAAUAAACUCUAGGAAGAUGUCAUAAAAGAAAACUAAGGGUAAAAAACUUAAGCUGGAUGGUAAUAGUUUGGCAGAGAUGGAUGAUGUACCUGGAACUUUCGUAAAAGUGCAGACUUCACUUCAGACGAUGUCAUAAGUUAAAGUUAAAACUGUCAGACAACUCUCAAUUAAAUAGUUUGACAAGUUCAGCAGAACUUUGUUUCUCUUUGGUGUUUCUACCUCAUUGCUUCUUGCAGUUUCUUCUAUUUAUACAUGCAGAAUUUAAAAGUGUAAAAUUAGAGCAGCUUGAAUUGCCUGCUUGAGCUCGCUCAUGGACACUGCUUAUUUCUAUGUUAAAUUUUACCCAUGAACUGUAAAGUCUUACAGUACCUGGCAUAAACAGUAAAAUCAGCAACAAGACUGAAAAUUGUUGCAAUGAAAUUUCUAAUGCUUGUAACUGCUGCCAGGGGUGUGUGUGACAGACAACAUAACUUAAAACUGCUGAAGAGUCUGUUUUACUUAUAACUUCAAUCAGUUACAAUCAGCCUUUGGCUGUCAGGGGAAAGUGAGCUGAUGCUUUUUGUUAAAAAAGAAAUCUGUACAUGUACAGGAAAAAAACAGCCAAAAGUUAAGAGGGACAUCAAUUAUGUGCAAGUCGACAUUAAAAAUGAGCUUGCUCAAACUUCAGUUCACUUAGAUAAACCACUUAGAGAACCUGGUCAUAUUUAUCGUUAAUAUUUAAAAUUUUGUACAAAUUCAUGAAGAUUUUUUUCAGCUGUAUCUAACUUCUUAUUUCCUAGACUAAAUGCAUGAUCAAAUUCUCCUGGAAAAUCAUUCAAUAUUUAGUUUAAAAACAAAGAAAAUCCAAUUUCAACAAUUUAUCAUGGGGAAAAAAAAUCUGCAGUUUUGAAAACUUAGUCCGUAAAUACAUCAACGAUGCUAUUAUAAUCCAUUGCUUAAUGGAUAAAGCCUUGGCCUGGAUGAGAGUUCAUCAGGUGGUCCCCAACCAUCAUGGGGUGUUUCGACCCUUAACCACAACACCCUCAAGUUGGCAGGUCCGCAGUGACUGGCCAGGUCACUGCGCCUCUCAUCCAGGCUUCCAGCUAUUGUCCUCUCUCUUAUGCCAGAGCCAACAGGAGGCUCUCUCUGCCGCUUCUCCCAGCCUACGAACGGCUGUUUUCCUCAAGUGGCCUCUCAGUCCCACCUUAGUCAGGAGAUUCCACACUGACUGUGCUGGAAAUCCUCGACAUCCUACUUCCACUGUCAUCAGCCAUGUUGUCCACCCCUUGUCUCGGCAGUCCUGGACAAGCUGCUGGUACUUGGUCUUCUGUCGCUCUGCUGCUUCCUCGCAUCCCUCCUCCCACGGGACCGUUAAUUCCACCAGGAUGAUCUUUUUUCCCUCUGGAGACCACAUAAUUAUAUCUGGUCUCAGAGUGGUGGACAGUACCGCUUCUGGGAAGUGGAGCUUCCUCCCCAGGUCAACCUCCAUCUCCCAUCCUUGGGCCAACUGCAGGAGGUUUUGCUUGGUUUGGCCUUGGACGA